UAAGCCCUCAGACCAAACUGCAAGGCAAAGGCUUGGGAAGCUGUACACUUGUACCCUACCUGCUGGGCCACCUGGUCAGAAGCCCAGAGGGAAAGAACGAUAAGGCCCCAGAAAGCCGGCAACAGAGAGAAUGGGAGCUCUUGUGACUCUGGACCCCAGCAUCUUAGCCCACAAGAAGCACACCACCAAGGAUCUAGCCACAUCUGAUGCCGGGGUCAUUCUUGGCAGAGGUGCGUGCUGAUACUGCUGCACCACAGUACCUAAGGCUCUGAAGACACCAGAGGAGCUCACCUGAUUCACAGACCACAGAACCGGGCCGCAGCUCCAGCAUCAUGUGUGAAGGCGACGGCCUCUGACAGGCACUAGCACGGGGGAGAAGCCACCUCCGAGUCCGGAUUCCCUGUAACCCCUUGCCCAGAGUCUCCACGGAGGGCUCCCGAUAGCAGCGACGGCUGGCUUCCGGCCGAACAACACUGGACUUGCUAGCAAGCCCGGAGCGCCGCUCCAAGCUCGGAAACUUACGCAGCAUAAACCGGCUCUCCGAU
rnacentral:lncRNA from 1 species